rnacentral:rRNA from 1 species
UACGAAGGGGCUAGCGUUGCUCGGAAUCACUGGGCGUAAAGGGCGCGUAGGCGGAUCUUUAAGUCGGGGGUGAAAGCCUGAGGCUCAACCUCAGAAUUGCCUUCGAUACUGGAGAUCUUGAGACCGGAAGAGGUAAGUGGAACUGCGAGUGUAGAGGUGAAAUUCGUAGAUAUUCGGAAGAACACCAGUGGCGAAGGCGGCUCACUGGCCCGGUACUGACGCUGAGGUGCGAAAGCGUGGGGAGCAAACAGGG